rnacentral:rRNA from 1 species
UACGGAGGGUGCAAGCGUUAUCCGGAAUCAUUGGGUUUAAAGGGUGCGUAGGAGGGCAGGUAAGUCAGUGGUGAAAUCUCCAAGCUUAACUUGGAAACUGCCGUUGAUACUAUCUGUCUUGAAUAUUGUGGAGGUGAGCGGAAUAUGUCAUGUAGCGGUGAAAUGCUUAGAUAUGACAUAGAACACCAAUUGCGAAGGCAGCUCACUACUCAAUCAUUGACUCUGAGGCACGAAGGCGUGGGGAUCAAACAGG